rnacentral:rRNA from 1 species
AUUGAACGCUGGCGGCAGGCCUAACACAUGCAAGUCGAGCGGAUGAAGGGAGCUUGCUCUUGGAUUCAGCGGCGGACGGGUGAGCAAUGCCUAGGAAUCUGCCUGGUAGUGGGGGAUAACGUCCGGAAACGGGCGCUAAUACCGCAUACGUCCUGAGGGAGAAAGUGGGGGAUCUUCGGACCUCAUGCUAUCAGAUGAGCCUAGGUCGGAUUAGCUAGUUGGUGGGGUAACGGCCUACCAAGGCGACGAUCCGUAACUGGUCUGAGAGGAUGAUCAGUCACACUGGAACUGAGACACGGUCCAGACUCCUACGGGAGGCAGCAGUGGGGAAUAUUGGACAAUGGGCGAAAGCCUGAUCCAGCCAUGCCGCGUGUGUGAGGAAGGUCUUCGGAUUGUAAAGCACUUUAAGUUGGGAGGAAGGGCAGUAAGUUAAUACCUUGCUGUUUUGACGUUACCAACAGAAUAAGCACCGGCUAACUUCGUG